UAACAUCGAUAGAAUUGUGGAUGUAACAUCUAAGUGAAAUCUAAGUUAAUGCGGUUUUGGCAUUAAGUAAGAUUUUGUGAUAGUUUUGAUACGCCAACUGUGUAAUUCGUUACAUGAUUUAGGCUAAUAAUUCGAUAUCGGUCAUUUCUUGAUAGGCUAAUUUAUAGGUUAGGCAUAGGCCUAUUUAACCUAGACUAAUUCGUAUUUCUGCCCUAGGCCCUACACUAAUUAAACAUGGAUACAAAGGCAUAAAAAGAACUGAUCAAAGUGUUGUGCCCAAGCACUUUUCAAGCCUACCAGUGGCUAAAACUCAACAGAAAUAGAUGCACAGGCUAGGCCUAGCCUAUAUGGGCCUGUGAUGAUUGAGCCAGUACCAGUACAAUGGGGGAGUUGUAAUUAAUAUCCUCCGACAUUGGAUGAUUCAGGGGAGAGGCUGAGGCGGAAGAAUAGGUAGAGGAACAGUAGAUGGGGAACGAGGCGAAGAAAAGACUACCUACUAGGUAGUGUAGAAGAGAAAUAUGGUCUGAUGAUGGGUGGAUGGCGAUGAGGGCAUGGAGGAUGAGAGAAAUGGGGCUGAUUAUGUUGAUUAGGUUAAUAUUUGUUUUGAACAUUAGUAUUCUUAUAUUUGAAUUUUGUAUCAUUAAGAUAAUUUUAUGUUUUUUAAUGAAGAUGUUUUUUUAGUUUUAAUAUCUACUUUGUUGUACUACUGCCUAGUUUUAUAAAUAAACUGUUUAUUGUGUUUGUUGAA